AUUGAACGCUGGCGGCAUGCUUUACACAUGCAAGUCGAACGGUAACAGGCCGCAAGGUGCUGACGAGUGGCGAACGGGUGAGUAAUGCAUCGGAACGUGCCCAGUCGUGGGGGAUAACGCAGCGAAAGCUGCGCUAAUACCGCAUACGAUCUAUGGAUGAAAGCGGGGGGCCGUAAGGCCUCGCGCGAUUGGAGCGGCCGGUGUCAGAUUAGGGAGUUGGUGGGGUAAAGGCUCACCAAGCCAACGAUCUGUAGCUGGUCUGGGCGGACGACCAGCCACACUGGGACUGAGACACGGCCCAGACUCCUACGGGGGGCAGCAGUGGGGAAUUUUGGACAAUGGGCGCAAGCCUGAUCCAGCAAUGCCGCGUGCAGGAAGAAGGCCUUCGGGUUGUAAACUGCUUUUGUACGGAACGAAACGGUCCUGGUUAAUACCUGGGGCUAAUGACGGUACCGUAAGAAUAAGCACCGGCUAACUACGUGCCAGCAGCCGCCGUAAGAC
rnacentral:rRNA from 1 species